AUGUGUCAGCAUAUUUUACGUACUAGCCACUGCACGCAUCGAUAUUCUAAUUUUCGAUUAUUCUACCGCUUAGUAGUAGGUCUGCUCUGUAGACACGUGUCAGUGAUUUGUGAAGUUGUCUGCAAAGUUUGUUUGUGAUAUUAUUUACAAACGUAUUCACUAGUUAUUAUGAUGCUAUGUGGCUCUAAGUGAAGACUGUAAUUGACCAUUAUUUAUACUUGUGAGGCAUUAAAUUAGUGUCAGUGGAAUCAUGUGAACUAUUGUAAAAGAAUGAACUUUUCCAAGUGAACCUUUCAAUAUACGAACAAGAAGAUGAUAUCGUUCCUGUUUUGUUCUAGCCAGUCCACUGCUUGGCGUGAAAACUACAUUGUCGGCGCAGUGUGGGAGCGUAUGUUCAUGGACCACUUCAGCAACGGGGACUCCAGCCUUACAAGAAGAAGGGUGCUGUGAUGCAGGUAAGGAA